UACGGAGGGUGCAAGCGUUAUCCGGAAUCAUUGGGUUUAAAGGGUCCGCAGGCGGAUUUAUAAGUCAGUGGUGAAAUCCCAUCGCUCAACGAUGGAACUGCCAUUGAUACUGUAAGUCUUGAAUUCGGUCGAAGUGGGCGGAAUGUGACAUGUAGCGGUGAAAUGCUUAGAUAUGUCACAGAACACCGAUAGCGAAGGCAGCUCACUAGGCCUGGAUUGACGCUCAGGGACGAAAGCGUGGGGAGCAAACAGG
rnacentral:rRNA from 1 species